rnacentral:tRNA from 1 species
GGCCUGAUGGCGCAAUGGUAGCGCGUCCGACUCCAGUUCUGGAUUUCCAUCGGAAGGCUGCGUGUUCAAAUCACGUUCGGGUCA